rnacentral:lncRNA from 1 species
UAUGCUAUUUCGUUUGUUACUAUUCUAUUUGAUAAUACUUCAUAUUAUGUACUAUAUGCAUAUUUUGAUAUUUGGUUAGAGUUUAUAUUUCUUUUUAGGGUUUAGUGAUUAGUGUUUUUGGUUUAGUUUAUGGAAGGUUUGGGUUGACGUUAAUAUGUACUAUGCUAUUUCGAUUUUUACUACUCUAUUUUAAUAAUGCUUCAUAUUAUGUAUUGUGUGCAUAUUUUGAUAUUAGGGUUAGGGUUUAUAUUUUUUUUUAGAGUUUAGUGAUUAGUGUUUUGGGUUUAGUUUAUAGAACUUUUGGGUUGACAGAGAAUAAGCAUUACUUCCACUAUUAUUAAUUUCAUU